rnacentral:lncRNA from 1 species
UCGUACAUUGGCCAACCACAAUAUGGCAAUUCCUCCAGAAUGUCCUGUUGCAGCCAUCUCAAUCAUACCAUCAAAACUAAAAUUUUCUUUCACACUUUGGUGUGUUUGACAGCGUGUUUCCAAAAGAACAACUAACGCUGGCCUAUUAUAAACUCUAGGUAAAGUUAGAGAUAUACAAAAUCUCAACUCAAAAUAGGAAGACCAAUUUCAUUCAAGAUUAACAGAAACCAUAAAACUAAUCAAAACAAAAGGCUAGCAUUUUUAACAUCCAAUACAAAAAACUUAUUUUAUAUGUUUCACAUAUACAUGAACAUAGUCUGAAGCAGAUAGGCAUGUGUUCAACAGAGUUCAAGAUUUAUUGCUCCCAAGCUUCAAUCACCACUGUUUGAGGGAUUGUCUUAAAGGACGAUAACUGUUACAAAUUGUCUAAGCCUCAAACUUUCAAAACAAAGAGGGUCUAAUGAGUCCUAUCAAUAGCAAUGAUUGUCUCAAAUUAAAAUAAAUUAGAGAUAGACGACAACAGCAACAACAACAACCCAGUAUAAUCUCACUUAGUGGGGUCUAUGGAGGGUAGUAUGUACACAGACCUUACUCCCUACCCUUGGGCAGAGAGGUUGUUUCCAAAUAGACCCCCGGCAUCCUUCCCUCCAAGAACUUCCUACCUUGCUCUUGGGGAGACUCAAACUCGCAACCUCUCGGUUGGAAGUGAGGGUUGAAAUUAAAGAUAAGACAGUAAUCGUGUAAUAGAAGGAUUACCUCUUACAAGCAUAAAUCUCACAUUCUUGUGAGUUCUUCGGCCAAGAGUCAAAUUUAAUGUUUCGUCUAAUCUGAUCUCACGUCUAAGCCAAAAAUAAUCCCUUUACCUGCAACCAUCAAUCAACCAAGUCAACACACACACACAAAAAAUUAGAGAACAUUAAUCCAUUAAUUGCACCUCAAUCUUAACUCAACUAAUUAAAAUAAUAAUAUAAUUCAGGAAAUAGAAACAUUUUGAAUCUCAAUAUGUUAAUUACGGGCAAUAACAAGAACUACUUAGAAUUAAGUUAAAAUUAUGGCAAAAUAGUUCGUCCAAACCUUGAAUAAAAAUUGAAUUGCAGAACUCACAACAAAACGUAGCAAAAGUAACAUAAAAUAAAUGGUUAACUUAGAAAAAAGCCAAUCACGAUCAUCCAGAAAUGCUUAGGGCUGCUGGAAUUACCAAAAAUCAAACUAGAAAAAGACAUGCAUUGUAAAAAUAGGAAAUCCAAAAAAAAAACAUGAAACAUGAAAAAUAAUAAAAUCAAAAUGCAUUAAUUAAAAAAAAAAAUUAUCUGAUUGAAUUGAAGAAAGUCAAGUAAAGAAAGAAGAGUGAAAGAGGUAUAUAAAUGCAUAUAUUCCAAGCACACAAGAAAAUUUUUUAUUAAAUACAGUUUCAUUCCAGUAGGGCAAGCAGGGAAUAUGGAGAGUGCAAAUUAAAAUAAGGAAAAAAACUUACCACCACACAAGACAAGCUCGAACUAAAGCAGAAAAAUUUGAAAUCUAUGACCAGUUAGUGAGUCACGAAGGCCAUAAACAGAAUGUCGUCUGUGUGAGAGAGAAAAUAGAGCUCUGGAGUGUAUUCUAAAAUUAAU